GCGGGCGGAAGGCAUCACUUUGUCCGGACUCUAAUUCAAAUUGUAUUCAUCCGAUCUUCACCAAACUUGGUCAGCAGUUGCAUCUAGUUGAUAUCUAGGCCAAGUUCGAAUAUGGGUCAUGCCGGGUCAAAAACUAGGUCAUAGGGUCAAUAAGUGCAUUUUCAAAGGGGCCACUUUGUCCGGACUCUAUUUCAAAUUGUAUUCAUCCGAUCUUCACCAAACUUGGUCAGCAGUUGCAUCUAGUUGAUAUAUAGGCCAAGUUCGAAUAUGGGUCAUGCCGGGUCAAAAACUAGGUCAUAGGGUCAAUUAGUGCAUUUUCAACGGCGCCACUUUGUCCGGACUCUAAUUCAAAUUGUAUUCAUCCGAUCUUCACCAAACUUGGUCAGUAGUUGCAUCUAGUUGAUAUCUAGGUCAAGUCCGAAUAUGGGUCAUGCUGGGUCAAAAACUAGGUCAAAGGGUCAAUUAGUGCAUUUUACUUUGUCCGGACUCUAAUUCAAAUUGUAUAAAUCUUAUCUUCACCAAACUUGGUCAGUAGUUGCAUCUAGUUGAUAUCUAGGCCAAGUUCGAAUAUGGGUCAUGCCAGGUAAAAAACUAGGUCAUAGGGUCAAUAAGUGCAUUUUCAAAGGGGCCACUUUGUCCGGACUCUAUUUCAAAUUGUAUUCAUCCGAUCUUCACCAAACUUGGUCAGCAGUUGCAUCUAGUUGAUAUAUAGGCCAAGUUCGAAUAUGGGUCAUGCCGGGUCAAAAACUAGGUCAUAGGGUCAAUUAGUGCAUUUUCAACGGCGCCACUUUGUCCGGACUCUAAUUCAAAUUGUAUUCAUCCGAUCUUCACCAAACUUGGUCAGUAGUUGCAUCUAGUUGAUAUCUAGGUCAAGUCCGAAUAUGGGUCAUGCUGGGUCAAAAACUAGGUCAAAGGGUCAAUUAGUGCAUUUUACUUUGUCCGGACUCUAAUUCAAAUUGUAUAAAUCUUAUCUUCACCAAACUUGGUCAGUAGUUGCAUCUAGUUGAUAUCUAGGCCAAGUUCGAAUAUGGGUCAUGCCAGGUAAAAAACUAGGUCAUAGGGUCAAUAAGUGCAUUUUCAAAGGGGCCACUUUGUCCGGACUCUAUUUCAAAUUGUAUUCAUCCGAUCUUCACCAAACUUGGUCAGCAGUUGCAUCUAGUUGAUAUAUAGGCCAAGUUCGAAUAUGGGUCAUGCCGGGUCAAAAACUAGGUCAUAGGGUCAAUUAGUGCAUUUUCAACGGCGCCACUUUGUCCGGACUCUAAUUCAAAUUGUAUUCAUCCGAUCUUCACCAAACUUGGUCAGAAGUUGUAUCUAGACAAUAUCUAGGUCAAGUUCGAAUAUGGGUCAUGCUGGGUCAAAAACUAGGUCACAGGGUCACUUAGUGCAUUUCAAGCAUUUAGCAUGGUGUCCACUCUCUAAUUGAAGUAGUUUUCAUCCAAUCUUCACCAAACUUGGUCAGAAGUUGUAUCUAGACAGUAUUUAGGUCAAGUUGGAAUAUGGGUCAUUCCAGGUCAAAAACUAGGUCACAGGGUCACUUAAACCAUUUCAAGCAUUUAGCAAGUGCUCUCUAAUUGAAGUAGUUUUCAUCCGAUCUUCACCAACUUUGGUCAGAAGUUGUGUCUAGACAAUAUCUACAUGUAGGUCAAGUUCAAAUAUGGGUCUUGCCAGGUUAAAAACUAGGUCACGAGGUCCCGUAGUGCAUUUCAAGCAUUUAGCAUGGUGUCUGCUCUCUAAUUGAAGUAGUUUUCAUCAGAUCUUCACCAACUUUGGUCAGAAGUUGUGUCUAGAUGAUAUGUAGGUCAAGUUCAAAUAUGGGUCAUGGUAAAGUUAUCAAGUUGUCCAAAGUCUUAAAACGGGCGUAUCUUGUGACAGUUUGGCACUCUUGUUUAAGAG